UGCUAUACAUGCAAGUCGAGCGGACAGAUGGGAGCUUGCUCCCUGAUGUUAGCGGCGGACGGGUGAGUAACACGUGGGUAACCUGCCUGUAAGACUGGGAUAACUCCGGGAAACCGGGGCUAAUACCGGAUGGUUGUUUGAACCGCAUGGUUCAAACAUAAAAGGUGGCUUCGGCUACCACUUACAGAUGGACCCGCGGCGCAUUAGCUAGUUGGUGAGGUAACGGCUCACCAAGGCAACGAUGCGUAGCCGACCUGAGAGGGUGAUCGGCCACACUGGGACUGAGACACGGCCCAGACUCCUACGGGAGGCAGCAGUAGGGAAUCUUCCGCAAUGGACGAAAGUCUGACGGAGCAACGCCGCGUGAGUGAUGAAGGUUUUCGGAUCGUAAAGCUCUGUUGUUAGGGAAGAACAAGUACCGUUCGAAUAGGGCGGUACCUUGACGGUACCUAACCAGAAAGCCACGGCUAACUACGUGCCAGCAGCCGCGGUAAUACGUAGGUGGCAAGCGUUGUCCGGAAUUAUUGGGCGUAAAGGGCUCGCAGGCGGUUUCUUAAGUCUGAUGUGAAAGCCCCCGGCUCAACCGGGGAGGGUCAUUGGAAACUGGGGAACUUGAGUGCAGAAGAGGAGAGUGGAAUUCCACGUGUAGCGGUGAAAUGCGUAGAGAUGUGGAGGAACACCAGUGGCGAAGGCGACUCUCUGGUCUGUAACUGACGCUGAGGAGCGAAAGCGUGGGGAGCGAACAGGAUUAGAUACCCUGGUAGUCCACGCCGUAAACGAUGAGUGCUAAGUGUUAGGGG
rnacentral:rRNA from 1 species